rnacentral:piRNA from 1 species
UGAUAGCAUCCUUUAUCACUGACUAAUCCUA